rnacentral:rRNA from 1 species
GACCAAGGAGUCCGACCCGUGCGCGAGUCGUAGGGUCUUGUUUAGGCCCCGUGGCGAAGCGAAAGCGAAGCCGAGACUUCCGAUUUAUACAUGCGUCGGAAAGCAUCGGCGGCCCGGCGGUGCGGUCGGUUUCUCCCGUCCGAAUUGAAUCUUUUCGGGCGGGCGUCCGGCUCGUCGGAGUCUGAGCGCACGAGUCGGUACCCGAAAGAUGGUGAACUAUGCCCGGCCAGGGCGAAGCCGGAGGAAACUCCGGUGGAGGCCCGAAGCGGUUCUGACGUGCAAAUCGAUCGUCGGAGCGAGGUAUAGGGGCGAAAGACUAAUCGAACCAUCUAGUAGCUGGUUCCCUCCGAAGUUUCCCUCAGGAUAGCUGGCAUUCGUUGAAACAGUCUCUCCUCGUAGAGAGAAUGAAUAGAGGCCCUGGGGCCCUAGACGACCUCAACCUAUUAUCAAACUACUACGAGGUGCGUCGGCCGUUUUCCUGCCGAGUACGAGGAACGGCGUA